UACGUAGGGGGCAAGCGUUGUCCGGAUUUAUUGGGCGUAAAGAGCUCGUAGGCGGCUCACUAAGUCGGAUGUGAAAACUCCAGGCUCAACCUGGAGACGCCAUUCGAUACUGGUGUGGCUUGAGUUCGGUAGGGGAGCACGGAAUUCCUGGUGUAGCGGUGAAAUGCGCAGAUAUCAGGAGGAACACCGGUGGCGAAGGCGGCUUGCUGGGCCAGUUCUGACGCUGAGGAGCGAAAGCGUGGGGAGCGAACAGG
rnacentral:rRNA from 1 species